CAACUCGCAAGUCAGUAGCGGUGGUUCAUUAGGGGUUGCUACUUUAGGAAAAUAAGGGAAGGAAAAUCUAGUGCCAAUUUGAACGAUGAGCAGCAGCGACGGAGAAGAUGCAGCACGGCGUCGUAAUGCCGUAGCGGACUAUCGCAAGAAGUUACUCCAGCACAAGGAGCUGGAAUCCAGAGUACGAGCUGUGAGGGAGAAUUUGAGAUCUGCUAAGAAAGAGUUCAAUAAGACAGAGGAUGAUUUGAAGUCCCUUCAAAGUGUAGGGCAGAUCAUUGGAGAAGUUCUCCGACCUCUUGACAAUGAGCGCUUAAUUGUUAAAGCAAGCAGUGGCCCUCGAUAUGUGGUUGGCUGCCGCAGUAAGGUUGAUAAGGAAAAAUUGACUGCCGGAACUAGGGUGGUUCUUGACAUGACAACGCUCACAAUCAUGCGGGCUCUUCCACGUGAAGUAGAUCCGGUCGUUUAUAAUAUGCUUCAUGAGGAUCCUGGUAAUGUGAGCUACUCAGCUGUGGGUGGUUUAUCUGAUCAAAUCAGAGAAUUGAGGGAAUCCAUUGAGCUACCUCUUAUGAACCCUGAGCUUUUCCUUAGAGUGGGGAUUAAACCUCCGAAGGGUGUCCUUCUUUAUGGACCUCCUGGUACUGGAAAGACAUUACUGGCUCGGGCUAUUGCAAGUAACAUAGAUGCCAACUUUUUGAAGGUUGUUUCAAGUGCCAUUAUCGACAAAUACAUUGGAGAAAGUGCUAGGUUGAUACGAGAAAUGUUUGGAUAUGCUCGAGAUCACCAACCCUGCAUCAUUUUCAUGGAUGAGAUUGAUGCCAUUGGUGGACGCCGUUUUAGUGAAGGAACGAGUGCUGAUCGUGAAAUUCAAAGAACGCUGAUGGAGUUACUUAAUCAGCUUGAUGGAUUUGACCAGCUUGGGAAGGUUAAAAUGAUAAUGGCAACAAACAGACCUGAUGUUCUCGAUCCUGCACUUCUUCGUCCUGGGCGAUUAGACAGGAAGAUAGAAAUUCCACUGCCAAACGAACAAUCAAGAAUGGAAAUUCUUAAAAUUCAUGCUGCUGGCAUUGCCAAGCAUGGGGAGAUCGACUAUGAGGCUGUUGUGAAACUUGCAGAGGGUUUUAAUGGAGCUGAUCUCCGCAAUGUUUGCACCGAAGCAGGAAUGUCAGCAAUCCGAGCUGAACGUGAUUAUGUCAUCCAUGAAGAUUUUAUGAAGGCUGUCAGGAAGCUUAACGAAGCAAAGAAACUUGAAUCAAGUGCACAUUAUAAUGCUGAUUUUGGGAAGGACUAGAAUCUCGCUUGCGUUGCCAUGGAGAUGGAGGCAGUGCAUUUAUUUCAAAAAUAUAUGGGGGGCGUAGCUAUUUCUCCCAGCAUUCUGUUAACCAAAUUUAGAACAGAGACUCAAAUGAAGAUGGGAAAAGGGAUAAGAUGGGAGAUUCAAAGUUGGUCUUGGAUUUUGCUUUUGUUUGAAAAUUACCCUUCAUUUGUCCAUGGAAAACCUGUACUACAUAAAAGUAGUAAUUUUAAAGUCUUUGCUAUUUUGGCCUGUAGCCAAUUUCACCUA